rnacentral:rRNA from 1 species
UACGGAGGAUGCGAGCGUUAUCCGGAUUUAUUGGGUUUAAAGGGUGCGUAGGCGGACUGUCAAGUCAGCGGUAAAAUACGGGGGCUCAACCUCCGCCCGCCGUUGAAACUGACGGUCUUGAGUGGGCGAGAAGUAUGCGGAAUGCGUGGUGUAGCGGUGAAAUGCAUAGAUAUCACGCAGAACUCCGAUUGCGAAGGCAGCAUACCGGCGCCCAACUGACGCUGAAGCACGAAAGCGUGG